rnacentral:rRNA from 1 species
GAUGAACGCUAGCGGCAGGCCUACCACAUGCAAGUCGAGGGGUAACUAGAGUGAUAGCAAUAUUACUUUGGCUAGACCGGCGCACGGGUGCGUAACACGUAUGCAACCUACCUUAUACUGGGGAAUAACUUCGAGAAAUCGGCGCUAAUACCCCAUAACAUUGCGAAGAGGCAUCUCUUAGCAAUUAAAGCUCCGGCGGUAUAAGAUGGGCAUGCGUCCAAUUAGCAAGUUGGUGAGGUAACGGCUCACCAAGGCUACGAUUGGUAGGGGUUCUGAGAGGAUGAUCCCCCACACUGGUACUGAGACACGGACCAGACUCCUACGGGAGGCAGCAGUGAGGAAUAUUGCGCAAUGGACGAAAGUCUGACGCAGCCAUGCCGCGUGCAGGAUGACGGCCCUAUGGGUUGUAAACUGCUUUUGUACGGGAAUAAACCCUUCUACGUGUAGGAGGCUGAAGGUACCGUAAGAAUAAGCACCGGCUAACUCCGUGCCAGCAGCCGCCGUAAGAC